CGCUUUGAAGGGAGAUUUUAGAAGAUUAUGCUAACAGGACCCUGAAGUUGUCUUGUGUGAGGAUAGUCCAGUGACUGGCAAAUACAGAAGUGGAUGCUCACAAUCAUCUAUUGGAUGGAACACAGGACCCCCAAUGGAGGAGCUAGAGAAAGUACCCUAGGAACUGAGGAGGUUUGAAACCCUAAAUAAGAACAACAAUAUUAACUAACCAGUACCUCCAGAGCUCAUGUCUCUAGUUGAAUGUGUAGCAGGGGAUGGCCUGG
rnacentral:lncRNA from 1 species